ACGCUAGCUACAGGCUUAACACAUGCAAGUCGAGGGGAAACGACAUUGAAGCUUGCUUCGAUGGGCGUCGACCGGCGCACGGGUGAGUAACGCGUAUCCAACCUGCCUCUGACUAAGGGAUAACCCGGCGAAAGUCGGACUAAUACCUUAUGAGGUUUUCUGCAGACAUCUAAUGAAAACGAAAGAUUUAUCGGUCAGUGAUGGGGAUGCGUCUGAUUAGCUUGUUGGCGGGGUAACGGCCCACCAAGGCAACGAUCAGUAGGGGUUCUGAGAGGAAGGUCCCCCACAUUGGAACUGAGACACGGUCCAAACUCCUACGGGAGGCAGCAGUGAGGAAUAUUGGUCAAUGGGCGAGAGCCUGAACCAGCCAAGUAGCGUGCAGGAAGACGGCCCUAUGGGUUGUAAACUGCUUUUAUGUGGGGAUAAAGUGAGCUACGUGUAGUUUAUUGCAGGUACCACAUGAAUAAGGACCGGCUAAUUCCGUGCCAGCAGCCGCGGUAAUACGGAAGGUCCAGGCGUUAUCCGGAUUUAUUGGGUUUAAAGGGAGCGUAGGCCGUGGAUUAAGCGUGUUGUGAAAUGUGGACGCUCAACGUCUGAAUUGCAGCGCGAACUGGUUCACUUGAGUAUGCACAACGUAGGCGGAAUUCGUCGUGUAGCGGUGAAAUGCUUAGAUAUGACGAAGAACUCCGAUUGCGAAGGCAGCUUACGGGAGCACAACUGACGCUGAAGCUCGAAGGCGCGGGUAUCAAACAGGAUUAGAUACCCUGGUAGUCCGCACAGUAAACGAUGGAUGCCCGUUGUUAGUUCACCUAAGAAUUAGCGACCAAGCGAAAGCAUUAAGCAUCCCACCUGGGGAGUACGCCGGCAACGGUGAAACUCAAAGGAAUUGACGGGGGCCCGCACAAGCGGAGGAACAUGUGGUUUAAUUCG
rnacentral:rRNA from 1 species